UCUUGCCCAAUGCAUGCUGGGAGAGGCUCCAGCCCCCCUCACAACCAUGUCCAGGAACAUGAUGUAGGAUGGAUUUAAGGAUGCAUAUACUGAAAAGAAAAAUAUGGUGGUGGAUCUUUCAUGUUAUGGGGCUACCUUGCUCACACUGGUCCUGGGGCCCUUGUUAAGGAAAGCAGCAUCGUGAACUCUACCCAAGUACCAGGACAAUUUAGCCCUAAACCUGACUACCUCUGCCAGCAGACUGAAACUAGUGGAUCUUUCAGCAAGACAAUGACCCCAAAUUCACGUUAAAAUCCACAAAUAAAAAGGUUAAUGAUGCAGAAGCAUCAUUGUGCAAUGGCUACAACAGUGACCUGGCCACUCGACAGAGACCGCACUCCUCUCGGUCAAUGAGUCGCUUCACGCCGCACAAGCAGCCUCCCAUUCAUCUGUCCUGAUCCUCCUAGACCUUUCUGCUGCCUUUGACACCGUCAACCAUCCCAUCCUCCUGUCCUCCCUGGCAGCUAUGGGGAUCUGUGGCACAGCACUUGACUGGAUUGAGUCCUACCUCUCCGGUCGCUCCUUCCAAGUCGCCUGGGCUGGUGCAGUAUCAGCACCUCGCCCCCUUGCCACAGGAGUUCCCCAGGGCUCUGUCCUUGGUCCCCUCCUAUUCUCCCUGUACACCCAAUCUCUUGGUCCUGUAAUCUCUGCCCAUGGGUUGUCCUAUCAUUGUUAUGCCGAUGACACCCAACUCUUUCUCUCCUUCCCGCCCUCUGACACUCGGGUCUCUGCUCGCAUCUCUGCUUGCCUGAGGGACAUCCAGAGCUGGAUGGAUAACCACCAUCUUAAGCUGAACCCAGGCAAGACGGAGAUGAUCUUCAUCCCUGCUCCAUCCUCUAACCUUCUCGACUUUUCUAUUUCCCUGGGGGACACUGUGGUGUCAUCAUCACCCACCGCAAAAAACCUUGGGAGUGGUGAUGGACAACAGACUGUCCCUCUCCCAGAACAUCACGGCGGUGAGUCGAACAUGCAGGUUCUUCCUGUACAACAUCCGGAGAAUCCGCCCCUUCCUCACCACCUACGCAACCCAGCUCCUGGUUCAAGCGAUGGUCCUGUCCCGCUUGGACUACUGCAACUCGCUACUGGCUGGUCUGCCAGCAUCCGCCAUCAGACCCCUGCAGCUCAUCCAGAAUGCUGCAGCGCGUCUGGUCUACAACCUCCCCAGACAUUCCCAUGUCACCCCCUGCUCACUGACCUCCACUGGCUGCCUGUUAUGGCUCGCAUCAAAUUUAAGUCCUUGGUGCUUGCAUACCAGGCAGCUAAGGGGUCAGCACCAGGGUACAUUCAGAGGAUCAUCAGACCCUACACACCAGCCAGACCUCUCCGUUCGGCCACCUCUGGACGCUUGGCACCUCCCCCUCUUCGCGUCUGCACUUCCCGCUCCCGUCUGCUGUCUGUCCUGGCCCCUCGCUGGUGGAAUGACCUCCCCGUGACGGUCAGAACAGCAGAGAAUCUCACCACUUUCAAACGCAGACUGAAGACUCAUCUCUUCAGGCUGCACCUCUCCCCACCCCUCUCUAGCCUAUAGUUCAGCUCACUGUAUCUAGCUAGGAUAAUUUGAUUAUGUUAGUGUAUCUGGCAGGAUUGUUUUUGUAUGAUUAGGUGUGAUUCCAGUGCUAGUUUGUACUUGGUAGGAUUCUUGCUUGCUGAACAAGCUUACUCUACAGGGUUGGAGUCCUGAUCGAUGUGGUCACUUCUGGCACUACGAUCCUUACUUCACUCUAGUGUUUCUUUUGCGCCUCUACAUCAUGAAACCUAUGCACUUGUUGUACGUCGCUCUGGAUAAGAGCGUCUGCUAAAUGCCUAUAAUGUAAUGUAAUGUAAUGUAACAGGCUAAAGACUGCUGAACUCCCUGAAAACCUGUGACUCAAUUGAACAGCACAGCCCAUGAGCACGGAUCAACAAAGACAUCAGGAUCUGGAAAGAUUGUGGGUGGAGGAAGAGUCUAAGAUCCCUCCCAAUGUGUUCUCUGGUCUUAUGAGACGUUAUGUAAAAAGACUCAGUGCCAUUAUCCCUGCGAGGGGAGGGUGCACACAGUACCAAAUACAGGGGUGCCAAUAAUUGUGACGCACAAUUUUUGUAAAAUUGUAUCAUCUGAGAAAUGUCAUUUUGGUAGUUUCCAUUAUAUCAUUAAAUAUGCUCCAUAUGUUGGACAAUGAAAAUAUACCUCAUCACUGGUAAUCUUUAUAUUCAACAGUCUUAGUAAUUGUUAUCAUGGGUGCAGAAUAUUUUGGAGGGAAUUGUAUUACUGUACAAGUUUAUGGCUCAGUUAAAUUCCAGAUUUGUCCCUGUCUGUUCUAUGAGAUUUGAUGUAUGGGUGUGUCUGUGUGUAUUAUGUCUGUGCGUUAUCAUGUUCUUCUUGUGUGUAUUUACAGGUCUGCAAAUUUGGGUGAGAACCCAUUUGUGAAUCUGAUCUGGUGUAUUCAGGUGUCCUGAGACAGGGGGCGCUGUUUCUAAAAUGAAUUCCUCAGAGAAGACCGAGACUGAUGAUGGAACCCAUGGCCCUGCGAGAAAGAGGCUCCAGGUAGAUCGGGCUGGGUCACCUGUACCCAGCUGUCUGUCUAUGAAUAGUGACCGUUCAAUGGAUCUUCCAGUCGACUUCAGAGGAGAGUUCAGAGGUGAUCAAAGGGUCCAGGUAGAUAGGGCUGGGUCACCUGUACCCAGCUGUCUGUCUAUGAAGAGUGACCAUUCAAUGAAUUGUCCAGUCGACUUCAGGGGAGAGUUCAGAGGUGAUCAAAGGCUGCAGGUAGAUCGGGCUGGGUCACCUGUACCCAGCUGUCUGUCUAUGAAGAGUGACCGUUCAAUGCAUCCUCCAAACAACUUCAGAGGAAAGUUCAGAGGUGAUCAAAGG